CACAGAGCCUGCAUAGGGCUCAAACUCACGAACUGUGAGAUCGUGACCUGAGCCAAAGUUGGUCACUUAACCAACUGAGCCACCCAGGCGCCCCAACAAACAUCUUUAAUAGUGAGCUGUGAUACAAUAGGAUUUUAUUUUAUAUGUAGUUUGGAAAUAUGAGAAUAAAUCUAAAAUAUACAUAAGUAUUUAUAAAUAGUUAUUGGUUGAGUUAAAGGAAACUGAUAGCUUAACAGUAACACCUAAAGACUGUGAAAGAUUCUCUUUCUUAUAAUUUUAUGUUAAUGAAUAUAGACUAGAAUGAUUCCAUUUCCUAUAUAAGAAUAUGUUUCUUAAAACUGUUUGGAAAAUUUCUCAAAUUUAGAAAUCAAUUAUAAAUUACUAAUUGUGAUUCAAGUAGACUAUAAAUGUCAGAAAUGAAAGCACCCUGUCAACCCUAUUUGUGAAAUAUGUUUCUAAACAAAAUGUUGGAUCGAAGGUAAACUGCUCUUUCUCUUGUUUGAGUUCUAAUCAUAUCCAAUAUUCACAUGAGUGUUGAAGUUGUUCUUGGUCUAGGCCACGCCUGGCAUUUUCUCAGAAUUUUUAUACUUUAUUAGAUAUCUAGAUUUUGUAGGAGAGACUAAGGAUGCUAAUGUGAUUUAUUACAUUAUUAUACUUGUAAAUAGUAACAUCAUUUGUAUCUUAAAGGACUGCUAUUAUUUUUACCUGCCUUUUUGGAAAUUAUAUCUGUUCCCGGAACUAAAUUUAGAACAUGUCCAUAUUAAAAAAUAAAGAGAUUAAAAUAAUCAAUACGCUUCUCCUUUUUUGUUAACUUUUGAAUGUAUAUCCACAAAAGAGUUCCAGUUACUUAUCUGCUGGAAGAGCAAAGACAUAUUUGAGCCUUAGAGAUAAUCAAACCAGGAACUAUAGCAAUGCUAGGAACCACUCUUCUUAUUUUUCAUCUGUGUAUUAAUGUUAUUUUUCCAGAUUAAUUUUUCCAGGGAGUGGAACCAUAGUUACCAACAUCUUCCAGACCCAUAUAUUCUAAAUUUUGCUAUUCAGAAAAUAAGGUCCUUCCUCUUUUACAUUCCAGUUGGAAAAUCCUCAAGGAGUGCUUCUGAUUGACCCAGGUCUCAUUAUUUUUAAAACCAUAUGGCUAGAAGGACUUAGUAUUAUGAUAGGCAACCCUCAGUUGAAUCACAUAGUUGGAGUACAUAGAAAAUAGGUCCCCCC